UGCCUGGGACUUCAAAGGUAGGCGAGGAGGGAAUUCUACAAAGAGCCAGUGAGGAUCGUAACGUACGAUAGUCAUUACCGUAACCACCACGGACUUCCGCUGAGCGCCCGUCUCCGCGCAAGUACUGACCCUGGAACCCCAGUUGCCUGGGUCCACCUGUCGAACCAAACACAAGCCUCCUUUAGGUCUCUUCCACUCAUCUCAGCAGGACUUGGCUACCCAGAAACGUCACCUAACACCCGCAGCUUCCCCCCAUCAUCUGUGACUACCUACUGUGUCCGUGAGACUGUCCAGUCUAUAGACUGCCGCUCAGAGAAGCCAACAGCACUGCUCCCAUCAAGACUGAAGCUGGGGAGGAGGGAGAGCAUCUAACUGAAGGUUUCACAUCCUCUGAGCCUGGAGAUAGCAGAGCUAAUAUCCUGGAAAGAGCAUUGUGGAUGAAGACAUUGUCGCUGCACUACUUUUUAAUUGUGAAGAAAUCACCAACGAUCAGAGGAGAGUUAAAAAAAUAUUGUUACAUCUGAAGAAUGAAAUAGUGUGUAAUUUUUAACACCAUGGAAAACUGUAUACCAUUAUAUAAAAUACAAAAGAUAAAGGUACAAAAUUGUCUAUCCAGUAAGCUAUCAACUACAUGAAAAGAAAAGAAUCCUUGAAGAAAGAAAAAAGGAAGACCUGAAAAGAAAUAUAGCAAUAUAGUGGCAGGAAUUGUUCAUAUUUGUUUCUUCUCUUCCUACUUUGUAUUAAUUCC
rnacentral:lncRNA from 1 species